GUGAUGAUGGUCACAUGACUGAAUAUGGACACAGAGAUGGACGUUCAUCUGCACAUCCUCAGUGUCUCAGGAGUCACAAUAAACACACUAAAUAAAGUCAUGAUUGUGUAACUCUAGUGUAUAUGAGUGUGUUGUCAGCACAAGCUGUUGUAAAUCCUGCCCACUUCUUUGCAUUGUCAGCACAUGCUUCAGUGCUCUGAGAGUGUUUAUAGUGCUGUGAGUUUAACACUUCAUGACUGAGAGCAGAACACACACACUCUUCAUCAUCACACAAGACUAAACUACAACUAUGAACAACAUCUGCAUCUUCAUCUGGACCAUUGCACUGUUUGCUCAAGAAUCCAGAGGAGUGACUCUGACUCAACCUGAAGUUGAAACUGUCCAACUGAGUCAAACAGCAACAAUAGAGUGUCAUAUAGAUGUAGGAAUAUAUGACGAUCGUUUAGCCUGGUAUCAGCAGAAACCUGGAGAAGCUCCUAAACUCCUGAUUUAUUGGAUAAACAGCCGUUAUUCUGGAACUCCAUCUAGAUUCAGUGGCAGUGGAACAAGACAUACUGGACGAGAUUUUACUCUGAUUAUCAGUGGAGUCCAGACUGAAGAUACAGGAGAUUAUUACUGUCAGAGUUAUCACAGUGGUGGUGUGUUCACACAGUGAUAAAGAGUCGUACAAAAACCUCUGUCAGUCAGACGUCACAGUGACUGCACUGAUACAGCUGAGAGAAACUGCAGCUGCUGAUGGAGGAUCACACACACUACACAAUAUCAAUGUCUAGUUCAAAGUUUCUAAAGACUUUAAAGGUAAAUGCAAUAUAAGAUGUUUAUUUAAUGCUAAAAUAUAUUAACCCAGUUCAUUGUUCAUUGACUAAUAUUAGUUUGUCAUUCAUGUGUGUAUCCCUCUCGAAUGCAGGACCGACAUGCAGAUUUUAGACAGAUCUUUCAUAUGAAUUACAAUUUACAAUAAUAUAGCAUGAAAAUUGAACAACGUUAACAUAUACAUAAGGUAAAUAAAUGGUGAAAUAAAUAAUAACCAACAACAAAAAUCACAAUAAUUAAACUAAUGACAAAAGGUGCACAAACUCUAUUACAUGUUAUAUUUCAGCACUACAGAGAAAAAUGGUUAUUCACGUUUAUUUGUGCAAAAAUGUGAGAAACGGUUAAUUUGAAAACUGCACUCGCCUAGAGCUCUUUAUCUCAAGUCAUCAAUGACAGAAUCAAAAGCCAAGUUUGAGACUCAUGAUGGCGGAUGCUGAUCUCUGCUGGUCCACUUAGACUCUCUCGGCUCAUGGUAGACCUCAUGUGUGUGUUAAUCUCCUCUCCGCAGCCGCUGCAGUCACUGAUACUCUC